rnacentral:rRNA from 1 species
UACGUAGGUCCCGAGCGUUGUCCGGAUUUAUUGGGCGUAAAGCGAGCGCAGGCGGUUAGAUAAGUCUGAAGUUAAAGGCUAUGGCUUAACCAUAGUACGCUUUGGAAACUGUUUAACUUGAGUGCAAGAGGGGAGAGUGGAAUUCCAUGUGUAGCGGUGAAAUGCGUAGAUAUAUGGAGGAACACCGGUGGCGAAAGCGGCUCUCUGGCUUGUAACUGACGCUGAGGCUCGAAAGCGUGGGGAGCAAACAGG